rnacentral:snRNA from 11 species
AUACUAACCUGGCAGGGGAGAGACCAUGAUUAUGAAGUUGGUUUUCACAGGACAGAGCAUUGCACUCCGGAUGUACUGACCCCUGCUAUUUUCCCAAAACGCGGCUGCGUAAUUUGCGGUAGUGGGGGACUGUGUUCACGCUUGG